AGAGUUUGAUCAUGGCUCAGGAUGAACGCUGGCGGUCUGCUUAACACAUGCAAGUCGAACGGAGUAGAAAUACUUAGUGGCGGACGGGUGAGUAACGCGUGAGAAUCUGCCUUCAGGACGGAGACAACAGUUGGAAACGACUGCUAAGCCCCGAUGUACCGAAAGGGAAAAUAUUUAUAGCCUGAAGAUGAGCUCGCGUCCGAUUAGCUAGUUGGCGGAGUAAAAGCCCACCAAGGCGACGAUCGGUAGCUGGUCUGAGAGGACGAUCAGCCACACUGGGACUGAGACACGGCCCAGACUCAUACGGGAGGCAGCAGUGGGGAAUUUUCCGCAAUGGGCGAAAGCCUGACGGAGCAAGACCGCGUGGGGGAAGAAGGCUCUUGGGUUGUAAACCCCUUUUCUCUGGGAAGAAAGUUGUGAAAGCAACCUGACGGUACCAGAGGAAUCAGCAUCGGCUAACUCCGUGCCAGCAGCCGCGGUAAGACGGAGGAUGCAAGCGUUAUCCGGAAUGAUUGGGCGUAAAGCGUCCGCAGGUGGCAGUUCAAGUCUGCUGUCAAAGACCGGGGCUUAACUUCGGAAAGGCAGUGGAAACUGAACAGCUAGAGUAUGGUAGGGGCAGAGGGAAUUCCUGGUGUAGCGGUGAAAUGCGUAGAGAUCAGGAAGAACAUCGGUGGCGAAGGCGCUCUGCUGGACCAUAACUGACACUCAGGGACGAAAGCUAGGGGAGCGAAUGGGAUUAGAUACCCCGGUAGUCC
rnacentral:rRNA from 1 species